rnacentral:rRNA from 1 species
GACGAACGCUGGCGGCGCGCUUAACACGUGCAAGUCGAACGGAAAGGCCUGCUUUCCCUUGUGGAUUGCGGGUACUCGAGUGGCGAACGGGUGAGUAACACGUGAGUGAUCUGCCCCCAACUUGGGUAUAAGCCUGGGAAACUGGGUCUAAUUCCCGAUAGGACUGCAGGGUGGUGCCUGUGGUGGAAAACGAUUUUCUAGUGGUUGGGGAUGAGCUCGCGGCCUAUCAGCUUGUUGGUGGGGUAAUGGCCUACCAAGGCGGCGACGGGUAGCCGGCCUGAGAGGGUGGACGGCCAGAUUGGGACUGAGAUACGGCCCAGACUCCUACGGGAGGCAGCAGUGGGGAAUAUUGGACAAUGGGCGGAAGCCUGAUGCAGCGACGCAGCGUGGGGGAUGACGGCCUUCGGGUUGUAAACUCCUUUCGACCGCGAGGAAGCCACCUGGUUGGAAGGGUGGUGACGGUAGUGGUAGAAGAAGCACCGGCUAACUACGUG